AGAAUCAACGCUGGCGGCGUGCCUAACACAUGCAAGUCGAACGAGAAAGUGGAGCAAUCCAUGAGUAAAGUGGCGCACGGGUGAGUAACACGUGACUAACCUACCUUUUAGUGGGGGAUAACCUAGGGAAACCUGGGCUAAUACCGCAUAAUACCUACGGGUCAAAGCAGCAAUGCGCUGAAAGAGGGGGUCGCGGUCGAUUAGUUAGUUGGCAGGGUAAUGGCCUACCAAGACUGUGAUCGAUA
rnacentral:rRNA from 1 species